rnacentral:rRNA from 1 species
GAUCAUGGCUCAGGAUGAACGCUAGCUACAGGCUUAACACAUGCAAGUCGAGGGGCAGCAUGGACCCAGCUUUGCUGGGUUUGAUGGUGACCGGCGCACGGGUGAGUAACGCGUAUCCAACCUGCCCUUUACUCCGGGAUAGGUCUCCUGAAAGGGAGUUUAAUACCGGAUGUGUUUGUCUUUCCGCAUGGGAGCGACAAAUAAAGAUUGAUUGGUAAAGGAUGGGGAUGCGUCCCAUUAGCUUG